rnacentral:snRNA from 1 species
GAAAAGUUACCACAGGGAUAAC